CGGGGUGUGGCGAAGUUUGGUAUCGCGCCUGGUUCGGGACCAGGAGGCCAUGGGUUCAAGUCCCGUCACUCCGACCA
rnacentral:tRNA from 1 species